rnacentral:tRNA from 1 species
GGAGAGAUGGUCGAGCGGUUUAAGGCUCCAGUCUUGAAAACUGGCGUGGUGAUAAAGUACCAUCGAGGGUUCGAAUCCCUCUCUCUCCU